CCCCGUUAUCCUAUCCAGUAUUAAUCCUUCCUUCGAAAGGCUAUCCCCGAAUAAUCGGCCAGGUUGGAAACCUGUUACUCACCCCGGCCCCCGUCCCCCAUCAACCCAUUGCCAAGUCAAGCCGCCCCCCCACUUGCAAGGGGUAAACCCCUAACUUUAGAUUUUUUUAACUGCUCAGGAUGAACGCUAGCUACAGGCUUAACACAUGCAAGUCGAGGGGCAGCAUGACUUAGCAAUAGGUUGAUGGCGACCGGCGCACGGGUGAGUAACACGUAUCCAACCUGCCGAUUAUUCCGGGAUAGCCUUUCGAAAGAAAGAUUAAUACUGGAUAGCAUAACGAGAAGGCAUCUUCUUGUUAUUAAAGAAUUUCGAUAAUCGAUGGGGAUGCGUUCCAUUAGUUUGUUGGCGGGGUAACGGCCCACCAAGACAUCGAUGGAUAGGGGUUCUGAGAGGAAGGUCCCCCACAUUGGAACUGAGACACGGUCCAAACUCCUACGGGAGGCAGCAGUGAGGAAUAUUGGUCAAUGGACGAGAGUCUGAACCAGCCAAGUAGCGUGAAGGAUGACUGCCCUAUGGGUUGUAAACUUCUUUUAUAUGGGAAUAAAGUGAGCCACGUGUGGCUUUUUGUAUGUACCAUACGAAUAAGGAUCGGCUAACUCCGUGCCAGCAGCCGCGGUAAUACGGAGGAUCCGAGCGUUAUCCGGAUUUAUUGGGUUUAAAGGGAGCGUAGGCGGAUUAUUAAGUCAGUUGUGAAAGUUUGCGGCUCAACCGUAAAAUUGCAGUUGAUACUGGUAGUCUUGAGUGCAGCAGAGGUAGGCGGAAUUCGUGGUGUAGCGGUGAAAUGCUUAGAUAUCACGAAGAACUCCGAUUGCGAAGGCAGCUUACUGGACUGUAACUGACGCUGAUGCUCGAAAGUGUGGGUAUCAAACAGGAUUAGAUACCCUGGUAGUCCACACAGUAAACGAUGAAUACUCGCUGUUUGCGAUAUACGGCAAGCGGCCAAGCGAAAGCAUUAAGUAUUCCACCUGGGGAGUACGCCGGCAACGGUGAAACUCAAAGGAAUUGACGGGGGCCCGCACAAGCGGAGGAACAUGUGGUUUAAUUCGAUGAUACGCGAGGAACCUUACCCGGGCUUAAAUUGCAACUGACGGAUUUGGAAACAGAUCUUCCUUCGGGCAGUUGUGAAGGUGCUGCAUGGUUGUCGUCAGCUCGUGCCGUGAGGUGUCGGCUUAAGUGCCAUAACGAGCGCAACCCUUAUCUUUAGUUACUAACAGGUCAUGCUGAGGACUCUAGAGAGACUGCCGUCGUAAGAUGUGAGGAAGGUGGGGAUGACGUCAAAUCAGCACGGCCCUUACGUCCGGGGCUACACACGUGUUACAAUGGGGGGUACAGAAGGCAGCUACACAGCGAUGUGAUGCUAAUCCCAAAAGCCUCUCUCAGUUCGGAUUGAAGUCUGCAACCCGACUCCAUGAAGCUGGAUUCGCUAGUAAUCGCGCAUCAGCCACGGCGCGGUGAAUACGUUCCCGGGCCUUGUACACACCGCCCGUCAAGCCAUGAAAGCCGGGGGUACCUGAAGUACGUAACCGCAAGGAGCGUCCUAGGGUAAAACUGGUAAUUGGGGCUAGUC
rnacentral:rRNA from 1 species